rnacentral:rRNA from 1 species
UACGUAGGGGGCAAGCGUUGUCCGGAAUCAUUGGGCGUAAAGAGCGUGUAGGCGGCUCGAUAAGUCCGCUGUGAAAGUCCAGGGCUCAACCCUGGAAGGCCGGUGGAAACUGUCGGGCUAGAGUCCGGAAGAGGCGAGUGGAAUUCCCGGUGUAGCGGUGGAAUGCGCAGAUAUCGGGAGGAACACCAAUGGCGAAGGCAGCUCGCUGGGACGGUACUGACGCUGAGACGCGAAUGCGUGGGGAGCAAACAGG